UCCAGAGGGUGCAAGCGUUAAUCGGAAUUACUGGGCGUAAAGCGUGCGUAGACGGUUACAUAAGUCGGGUGUGAAAGCCCCGGGCUCAACCUGGGAAUUGCAUUCGAGACUGCGUAGCUAGGGUGCGGAAGAGGGAAGCGGAAUUUCCGGUGUAGCGGUGAAAUGCGUAGAUAUCGGAAGGAACACCAGUGGCGAAAGCGGCUUCCUGGUCCAGCACCGACGUUCAGGCACGAAAGCGUGGGGAGCAAACAGG
rnacentral:rRNA from 1 species